GAGAUGAGGCAUCAGCAGGUGGCAAAAAACGCACAUUGACCUCAGGUCUGAUGGAGCAGCUAAUGAAGGCGACAUGGCCAGGCAACUUGGAAACAUUGGAGAGAAGCUCUUUGUCGCAGCUCACUUUGCUUUGCUGUGAAAACAUUUGCUUAGGAGAGAAAUGCAUGCAAUGGACGUCUGAAAAAAGUGCUUUAUGGGAUGAGGAAUUGGACUAGAUAAUCUCAGAGUGCUCCUCAAGCUCAUGCAUAAAAAAAUCAGAACUUUCCUAGGAAACACGUGGAAAUUAUUUCUUGGUGAGAAAAUGCCUCACCAGCCUCUCCACUAAUGCUGACCAUACCUCUGUGUACCUGGCCUUGGGCUAAAUUGUUCACUAUUAAAGUGGAUUAAGCAGAGAACUCCAUUGUCACAGCAGCAGCGUGAUAUUUAUAUUGGUUGAAGAUCAAAGGACUGACCAUCUGGCACGAGUCCAUCCCCUUCCUUUGUGGAAGUAGUUUCAAUGUUGGCUGCAAGCAGGGAAGCCACUUUGGGACCUGAGACUAUGCUAGGUGCUGUGAUACCUUGAACAUAAGAUGCUCCUAUCACCAAGGAGCUAACAAUCUGUUUCUCCCGCUGGACUUGAGCAAGAACCAAGCAUUUGUACUGCAACUGCCCACCAUGGUAUCUGCGUUAAGCUCCAUCUGAAGACUCACAGGCAUUAAUGCUGUUACACAACACUGCAGCCCUUAGGGGGUACAGUUGUAAAUCAAGACCUGCAUCUAUCCCCCUUUUACCAGUAUUUGUGAAUGUUUCAGGGACCCCCUUCUCCGAAUGUGUGUGUGGAUGGGGGGCAGAGGAAUAUGGUGCAGGUGUUAGGGGCCAGGGGACCCAGAGAAGUGCAAGGCAAUAUGACCUUUAUUCCCAAGAUGAGAUGCAUAUAUAACAAACUGUCCAAAGUUUACUGCAACUAACCCCCUCAGAAAACAAAAACAAAACAAACAACACUUGAAAUAAGAUAUACAAGCAGUAAAAUAUGAGAAGGGACUGCAGGCUUUUCCAUUAGACUGUGUGGCUGUGGGUCCCAGUUUUUAUGGACUGUUUAUGUCCCCCCCAAAUUAAUAUGUUAAAAUCCUGUCCUUCAAUAUGAUGGCAUUAGGAGGUGGAGACUUUGGGGAUGAUUAGGUCAUGAGGGUGGGGCCUUUCUGAAUGAUAUCAAUGCCUUUCUAAGAGGAAAUAAGAGAAAGGUAGUUUUUCUCUUUGCUAUGUGAGGAUAAAAUGAGAAGGCAGCCAUCUGCAAGCCAGGAAAAGGGCCUUUACCAGAUGCUGGAUCUGCUAGUGCCUUGAUAUUUGACUUCCUAGUCUCCAGAAUGAUAAGAAAUAAGUGUCUGUUGUUUUGAUCACCCAAUCUGUGGGAUUCUGUUAUAGCAGUCCAGACUGACUGAGACUCCAGCUCUACCACUUACAACUGAUUGGUCCAAGAUGUGCAACCUGGAAUGCAUUAUUUAAGUUCCCCUCACCUCUCCUCAUUUAUAACCUGAGACUUAAUAAUAUCAUGUCCUUCAAAGGGGGAAAACUUAGAGUGGUGUAUGGCACUGAAUAAAUGAUC